rnacentral:rRNA from 1 species
GUGCUUACCAUGCAAGNNNNNCGAGAACGGUACUAGCUUGCUAGUAUGUCAGCUAAGUGGCGGACGGGUGAGUAAUGUAUAGUUAAUUUGCCCCUUGGAGAGGGAUAGCCACUGGAAACGGUGAUUAAUACCUCAUACUCCUUCUCUCUUAAUGAGAGUUGGGAAAUGUUUUUUCGCCAAGGGAUAAGACUAUAUGGUAUCAGGUAGUUGGUGGGGUAAGAGCCUACCAAGCCAAUGACGCCUAGCUGGUCUGAGAGGAUGAUCAGCCACACUGGAACUGAGACACGGUCCAGACUCCUACGGGAGGCAGCAGUGGGGAAUAUUGCACAAUGGGGGAAACCCUGAUGCAGCAACGCCGCGUGGAGGAUGACGCAUUUCGGUGUGUAAACUCCUUUUAUAUGGGAAGAUAAUGACGGUACCAUAUGAAUAAGCACCGGCUAACUCCGUGCCAGCAGCCGCGGGUAAUACGGAGGGGUGCAAGCGUUACUCGGAAUCACUGGGCGUAAAGCGCGCGCAGGGCGGCUUUUGUAAAGUUGGGAUGUGAAAAGCCUACGGCUUCAACCGUAAAACUGCAUCCAAAACUACUUUACCUAGAA